AUGGAUGCCGUAGCUGUGCUCGACGCCUUCUCCGCCGCGCCAUGGCACCAGCUCCGCCCAACAGCUUGGUGCAGAUCCACGCGCUUCGCGUCACAGGCGUGCCACGCCACCGCCCCAUUCGCUCGCGACGACUGGCAGGCCGCCUGCGCCAUCCACGCUAGCAACAGCACGGGCGGUGACGGCCACGAUGCCAGCAGCAACACGCAGCCAGCGCCACGGGUCAACGGCCAGAAGCCCUCGCCAGCCCUAGAGGCGACGCCGACGCUAAUGCCGGACGAGCUAGAUCUGGUGCUCGUGUCCAACCUCCCCAGGCCGCUCAGCAUCAACGACCUGUCCCCGGCGCCCAUGCACACACCGCAGCUCCGCGUGGCAUACCAGGGCGUCCCGGGCGCCAACAGCGAGGCGACCGCCGCCAAGGCCUACCCGGGCUGCGAUGCCAUCCCCUGCGACCAGUUCGAGGUGGCCUUCCAGGCCGUCGAGCUCUGGAUCACUGACCGCGCCGUGCUCCCCAUGGAGAACCCCCUUGGCGGCAGAAUCCACCGCAACUACGACCUCCUCCUCCGGCACCGCCUCCACAUCGUCGGGGAGGUCCAGCUCCCCGUCCACCACUGCCUCCUCGCGGCUGUGGCGGGUGUGGCGGCCAUGGCGUGA